rnacentral:misc_RNA from 1 species
AACUGAUACUACCUGCGGGAACCUGCGGAAGGAUCAUUACAGAGUUGCAAAACUCCCUAAACCAUUGUGAACGUUACCUAAACCGUUGCUUCGGCGGGCGGCCCGGGUCCUUCCCGGCGCCCCUCGGCCCUCGCGGGCGCCCGCCGGAGGUAAACCAAACUAUUGCAUUGUAUGGCCUCUCUGAGUCUUCUGUACUGAAUAAGUCAAAACUUUCAACAACGGAUCUCUAGAUCGGAAGAG